rnacentral:rRNA from 1 species
CCCUAUGGGGUGCAGCAGGCGAGAAAACUUUGCAAUGUGCGAAAGCACGACAAGGUUAAUCCGAGUGGUUUCUGCUAAAGGAACCUUUUGUUAGUCAUAGAACCACUAAUGAAUAAGGGGUGGGCAAGUUCUGGUGUCAGCCGCCGCGGUAAAACCAGCACCUCAAGUGGUCAGGAUGAUUAUUGGGCCUAAAGCAUCCGUAGCCGGCUCUGUUAGUUUUCGGUUAAAUCUGUACGCUCAACGUACAGGCUGCCGGAAAUACUGCAGAGCUAGGGAGUGGGAGAGGUAGACGGUACUCGGUAGGAAGGGGUAAAAUCCUUUGAUCUAUUGAUGACCACCUGUGGCGAAGGCGGUCUACCAGAACACGUCCGACGGUGAGGGAUGAAAGCUGGGGGAGCAAACCGGAUUAGAUACCCGGGUAGUCCCAGCUGUAAACUAUGCAAACUCAGUGAUGCAUUGGCUUGUGGCCAAUGCAGUGCUGCAGGGAAGCCGUUAAGUUUGCCGCCUGGGAAGUACGUACGCAAGUAUGAAACUUAAAGGAAUUGGCGGGGGAGCACCAUAAGGGGUGAAGCCUGCGGUUCAAUUGGAGUCAACGCCAGAAAUCUUACCCGGAGAGACAGCAGAAUGAAAGUCAAGCUGAAGACUUUACCAGACAGCUGAGAGGUGGUGCAUGGCCAGGCG